AGUUAUCUGGCACAGAUAAGUACAUAGAUAUAUGUGACGGUAAAGCACGGAUUGGUUUUAUGAAUGAUGGCAGCAACAAAACAAAGAUAAUAUGGAAGCAUCCAAGGUUUUGGCAAGUUGACACUGAAGGACAUAUAGACUUUGCAACUACUCUUUGUGAUCUGACAAAGAAAUGGUAUAUUGCAAUUGAUCAAAAGGAUCAGAUAGUUUUAACACGUAAACCAGUCUGGUUCAAAAUGAUCAAGAUUGGAAGUAAAGUACGUUUUCAGUUUCAAA
rnacentral:lncRNA from 1 species